rnacentral:tRNA from 1 species
GGUAAAAUGGCUGAUAAUAGGCGAUAGAUUGUAAAUUUAUUAAUGAGAAAGUUCUCUUUUACU